CGCUGCGUGGUGAGCACAGAGCGAACUAUUCUUUCGCCUUUUACUAAAGAAUACCGUGUUCUCGCCAUAACUAAGCAGCAUACACCAAUUUUUGGAGGGUGUCAAUUCUCUU
rnacentral:snRNA from 1 species